AUUGAACGCUGGCGGCAUGCCUUACACAUGCAAGUCGAACGGCAGCGCGGGAGCAAUCCUGGCGGCGAGUGGCGAACGGGUGAGUAAUAUAUCGGAACGUGCCCAGUAGUGGGGGAUAGCCCGGCGAAAGCCGGAUUAAUACCGCAUACGACCUACGGGUGAAAGGGGGGGAUCGCGAGACCUCUCGCUAUUGGAGCGGCCGAUAUCAGAUUAGGUAGUUGGUGGGGUAAAGGCCCACCAAGCCUACGAUCUGUAGUUGGUCUGAGAGGACGACCAGCCACACUGGGACUGAGACACGGCCCAGACUCCUACGGGAGGCAGCAGUGGGGAAUUUUGGACAAUGGGGGCAACCCUGAUCCAGCAAUGCCGCGUGCAGGAAGAAGGCCUUCGGGUUGUAAACUGCUUUUGUCAGGGAAGAAAUCCCUUGGGUUAAUACCUCGGGGGGAUGACGGUACCUGAAGAAUAAGCACCGGCUAACUACGUGCCAGCCGCCGCAGUAAGAC
rnacentral:rRNA from 1 species